rnacentral:lncRNA from 1 species
CGGUGGCAGCUCUGCGGAGCCGGGGAGAGGCUGCUGCUGCCGGGGUGACACUGCCAGCCAGCCCUAAUGCUGUGUCCUGUCCCCCAGCUUCGCCCCCUUUUCCUCCUCGCCCUGGCAGAUUUCCUGGCCGCUGCCGCGGUGCUGGGCACGGCCACCAUCCAGCUGCUGCCAGCCCGGCUCUUCGUCCCGGCGUACGCUGCCUGCCCCUUUGGACGGAUGCUGGCCACGACCUUCUACGCCGUCUCGUUCCUGAUGGUCAUCGUCUACGCGUACGAAGCCUAUCGCACCGUCCAGGGCUGGAGAGCCUGGCACGUCGCAGUGCUGCAGGAGAGGAGCGGGUGCCUGGAGAGCCUGUGGCAGGGGCUGCCCUACAUCCUGGCCUGGCUGGUGCCGGCGCUCACCCUCCUGGGGCAGCUGAUCGCCCGCGGCACCUCCACCACCACCGACAUCGCCCCAAAACCCAUCGAGCCCGUCCUGCCGUGGAGAGGAAACCGCUCCCACGAGACCUACAGCCUUUACUGCUCCAGCUGCCUGCUCCUCAUCCGCCGGGCCCAAGAUAUCUGCUUCCAGUACGUGGGUAGGAAGGACGUGGGCCUGGAGGGCAAAAUCAUCUUCUUCUUGUACCUGCUGCUGGUGCUGAGCUGCUGCACGGUAAGCCAUGGGGCUAGCGGGGGCCCGGGGGCAGUAGCCAGCGCUCCCCGGGCUGACGCCGCUCCCAUCGCCCAGCUCCUCUACCGCAGGGUGAAGCUCUGGUGCCGGAGGAACGCGGCGGAGCCCCUGCUGACCCUGGAGAAAGACGGCUUCGCCGGCAGGAGCAUCCGCAGCGUCAGCAGGGUCUCCCACUACUUCCAGCUGGUUUUCCUGCUCUGCUGGGCACCAGCCUUCCUCCUCACCCUCCUCUCCUUCACCAGCAUCAAACCUUCUUCGGUCUUUGUCCUCUACAUUGCUACGGUGAGUAAAAACCUGGUUUCCUGGGCUCCGGAGCUGGGACAUCUGUCCCCAUCAGAGGUGUGAGAGGUGAUGGGGUGGGGGCACCCUGGUGGGACAGGGCGGCUGUGAGAGGGGAGCUCCUCCCUUGUUUGAGGUGACCACACCAAGAGGAAGGCCACCUUGUGCCCUGGUGGCCAAGAAGACCAAUGGCAUCCUGGGGGGCAUCAAGGAGAGCGUGGCCAGCAGGUGGAGGGAGGUCAUCCUGCCCCUCUGCUCUGCCCUGGGGAGGCCCCAGCUGGAGCACUGGGACC